GAGGGCUUAGUUUAAUUAAAGCGAUUGAUUUGCGUUCAGUUGAUGUGAGAUAGAGUCUUGCAGUCCUUA
rnacentral:tRNA from 1 species